UUAGGAAUUUCUCAAAACUCUUCUUGUGUCGUGAAGAAUGCAAGGUCUCGGGUCAGGUGAGAUCUUCAGAGGCCUCUGCUCGGAGCAAGCCUUUCUUCACACUCUUCUCUGCGGCUGGGCUGUCUCUGCACCCCUUGGACCUCUUGACUCCUCCUGUCACAGCACUUGACACAUCACCCUAGGGAACUAGGCAUGCCCUUGAUCCCUACCCCCAGGUAGGCAGGAACUUUGUCCUUUCUGUACAGCAGAUCACCGUUACACCCUUACUGAAGGAGGGAAAAAAUCACACCAAGUGCCCUAAGACUCACUAUGUAACUGACUUCUUUCCAUCCCUCAUUCUGCCUCAUACCCAGCAGGUGUCAUCUGUCUAAAGAGAAACACUGUUGACCUGUGUACUUCUGUUUCCAGGGCUUGGCAUAACCCUGGAACUUUCAAUAUGAUUUUAAAACACACAAAGUCCAUCCCUUCUCAUGCUCUCUGCAGAACCUUAGGUGCUAGGCUGGGAUGGAAAUGGUUGGGAAAGAGCCUCGUAGCAAACAUGGUAAGUUUUGAUUAAUACCAGCAAACACCACAAUAUAAGCAGUACAGGCAAAACAGAAGAAAAAUAUUUGCAUAUUGAAAACAGUAAUGACAGAUAAGAAAUAGGGUUACCAUUUGUUCCUUUAACAGACAUUUUCCAGUGGUUUCUUCAAUAAAAAAAAAACCAAAUUGGAACACAAAACACAUUCAAUCUUAAGAAACGCAGACAUUUAAGAAAAAAUACAAUAGAAGAAAGGGAAAUACGGAGGAGAACGAAUACAUUUUUUUUUAACAUAUUUAAUGUUUCAUAGUUAUUUCUGAAACAGAAGCAUUUUAAUUCCACAGUGAGUACAUUUUACUUCAAAACCGUGUAUCACAUUUUAAGUAGUAAAGUACAAAUACUUAAAAACGUAACUUAGCCACAAUUCAACCACUGACCCAGAGACGUCUAAUUACCUGUUGUCUCCACCAGAGUGACUCUUGACCUGUUAACGAGAUUGGACCAGCAGCAUCAUGUCAUUGAGCCAAGGGUGAGGAAUUAAAAUGAAGAUCUGAUGAUGGAUCAGUUUAAAAGGGAAAAAAUAAAAUUCAACAUCGGAGGCAAGAACUGCUGAACAUGGAAGGAUGAAGGUGAGAGGAAGCUGAUGUUGCUGUGCUCAGACGCCCGGAGACCUUUGACCUGCUGGAAGCUGGCACUUGUCAGUCAGCGUGGGGAGGGGCCGCAGCCCGUGACCUCCCUGCCCCCGGAAGAUAAGCCACGUGAGGGAAGUGCAGGGGCACAGCCAAGGAGCCAGCAGGUGGGAGCUCUCUGAACGAGUCCCCUUUGGCAGCGAGCUACCCCCUACGCCCCGGCGGCUCCCGCAGCAGCAUAGUGAACGGCGGAGCCAGAUGAAGGAAGGAGGGAUUUCUUUUAAAUAUUCUCUUGUGGUUCAAAUACAGAUACAAAUUCCUGACAUUUGUCUACACAUGGGUGUACACUGAGCCACACCUCUGCUCAGAUACAGGCACACAGCUCACUCGGGAGACAGCUGCCUGAUAGGAGCAAAUGCUGUGUUGGCAUCCCGGGCGUGGACGAGGGCUCCGCUUACCUCGGGGCUGAUGACUUCAAGUGGAUUAUACUGAACAGAGAGACUUACUGGAGGACACUGAGCUAGCUUAUCUGCCGCCACCAUCUGGACAUUGAGGUGUUUUGCUUGAGAUUUCCCUCGAGACUUUAUUAACCUCUGUAAAACCUGCAAAAGAUGAGGUUUUUAAACAGCAGUGUCUGUACUCAGGUAAACAACAAGGUUCAUUAUUCACUCGUUUCUCUAGGACCUUUUUCAUACAGCACUCACGGUUUACUAGGCAAGAAAAUAGAAUAUUUAAGAUUUGGAAAAUUAACACAUCUUGGUUGCAAGCUUCAAAAACCACCAGCAUGGGGAUUAUUCUGAAUCUUUUUUUAAGGCUAGCACUUCUCAGACUUUAUUGCUCAUGAUUUAUGUUUUUAAAAACUGUUGAGAAAUCCCAAGGGCUUUUUAUGUGAACUAGAAUAUUUACAUACUAGACAUUAAAACUGAGAAAUUCAUUUAAGAAUGACCAAUAAACCUCUUGCAUGUUAACAUAUAUCACUUAUUUCAAGAAAAAUAGCUAAAUUAUUUGCAAAUUUCUCUACCACCUGACUUCACAGAAGAUAACCAAUGUUUCCUCUUUCUACAUUUAAUCUGCCACAGUACAUUACUUUGAAAUACGUGAAGAAAAUCCAGCCUCUUCCACAUACGUAAUUCAGAAAAGGAGGAGUAUUUUAGUAGCCUUUUCAGAUAAUUGUGGAUAUUUUUCUUUGAUACUACAGUAAACAAGUGGUAGCUUUUUAAAGAUUAGCUGCCAUGUGACAUCUGAAACCCUACUCUAUUAAAUUCCAUUGAUUUGUCCUGAAAUUUGAAUGGCAUGUCAUUUGUUCUUUCCAAUAAAAACGGUGUUCUAGGAUGACUCCAAUAAUGACACCAGUACUUGUCCUCAAAUAACUGACUUUUGAGUAUGCAGCUGAAGAACUUGAUGUGCACUUCCCAUUUUGUUAUGUAGAAUAUUAAAAAGGCUUGUAGUAGCUUUUUGAAGAGUCAAAAUUUAAUAAACAAUUUUGCUACUUUAUCAGACCUUUUUUUAAAGUACCACAAUAACAUUUUAUUGACUAAAUAUUAAAAUGACAAAUAUUUUUGGCUUAAAUAAAAUAACAUUCUUAAAACUAA